GCUUGCACGGUGUGGAUGAGUGGCGAACGGGUGAGUAACACGUGAGUAACCUGCCCCUGACUUCGGGAUAAGCUUGGGAAACUGGGUCUAAUACCGAAUGUGACUACUGGCCGCAUGGUCUGGUGGUGGAAAGGGUUUUACUGGUUGGGGAUGGACUCGCGGCCUAUCAGUUUGUUGGUGGGGUGAGUGGCCUACCAAGACGACGACGGGUAGCCGGCCUGAGAGGGCGACCGGCCACACUGGGACUGAGACACGGCCCAGACUCCUACGGGAGGCAGCAGUGGGGAAUAUUGCACAAUGGGGGGAACCCUGAUGCAGCGACGCCGCGUGCGGGAUGACGGCCUUCGGGUUGUAAACCGCUUUCAGUAGGGAAGAAGCGAAAGUGACGGUACCUGCAGAAGAAGUACCGGCUAACUACGUGCCAGCAGCCGCGGUAAUACGUAGGGUACAAGCGUUGUCCGGAAUUAUUGGGCGUAAAGAGCUCGUAGGUGGUUGGUCGCGUCUGCUGUGGAAACGCAACGCUUAACGUUGCGCGUGCAGUGGGUACGGGCUGACUAGAGUGCAGUAGGGGAGUCUGGAAUUCCUGGUGUAGCGGUGAAAUGCGCAGAUAUCAGGAGGAACACCGGUGGCGAAGGCGGGACUCUGGGCUGUAACUGACGCUGAGGAGCGAAAGCAUGGGGAGCGAACAGGAUUAGAUACCCUGGUAGUCCAUGCCGUAAACGUUGGGAACUAGGUGUGGGGUCCAUUCCACGGAUUCCGUGCCGGAGCUAACGCAUUAAGUUCCCCGCCUGGGGAGUACGCCGCAAG
rnacentral:rRNA from 1 species